rnacentral:rRNA from 1 species
GUAGUCUCGCACAGAUGCAUAUCAAUAAGCGGAGGAAAAGAAACUAACAAGGAUUCCCCUAGUAACGGCGAGUGAAGCGGGAAGAGCUCAAAUUUGAAAUCUUAAAGGGUUUCCCUUUACGAAUUGUAGUUUAAAGAAGUGUUUUCUGUUGAGGUUUUGGUAAAAGUUCUUUAGAAUAGGACAUCAUAGAGGGUGAGAAUCCCGUAUUUGACCUUUACUUUCAACUUUGUGAUACACUUCCAAAGAGUCGGAUUGUUUGGGAAUGCAGUCCAAAAUGGGUGGUAAAUUUCAUCUAAAGCUAAAUAUUGGCGAGAGACCGAUAGCGAACAAGUACCGUGAGGGAAAGAUGAAAAGAACUUUGAAAAGAGAGUUAAACAGUACGUGAAAUUGUCAAAAGGGAAGCGUUUGACACCAGUGUUGUUUUUCUGAAAAUCAAUUAAAGAACUGUUUAUGCUAAGCUGUUUAGACUUUAUCAGCUAACUGUUUAGUUUUGAGCUUUUCUUAAUGCACUUUUCAGUUAACAAGUCAACAUCAAUUUCUUUUGCUGUAAAAAAGCUUGAGGAAGGUGGCUUGAGAUUCGUCUUAAGUGUUUAUAGCCUCUUGCCUAUGCAGUCGGAGAGAUUGAGGUCUGCAGCGUAGAUCCUUCGGGGCUAAAUGCAUUUGUGCUAAGUUAUAGCAUUUUAUAGACAACUUGUUGACUAUGAUUUGUCUUGUAGCUUACUCGCUUAUGUUAUUUUACCUACGCUUAGGAUGUUGAAGACUCUACAGAGAU